GUGGGUUCAAUUCCCACGGGAGACAAGUACAAAAUGUAUGCACUCACUACUGUAAGUUACUCUGGAUAAGAGUCUGCUAAAUGAGUAAAAUGUAAAAAGUACACUAGUCUAGCCCUGUGCUAAGUGGAGCACAAUACCGGUGAGUUGUGCCUACAGACCAAUCUGAAAGAGUUGAAUAUAACUUUCAUGAAGCAAAGAAGAUUGAACAGUGGACUGCUAAAAGCAGAGUGCAUAUUUGCCAAUGGUUUGUCUCACUUCCCUGUUUGCUCCUUUCCUUGUGCAUGUGACAAAUAACCAGUGUGUAAACAGCAUACAACAGACAUCCUGGUCCUCUCGUUCAGACCAUAUUUAAACAGAGCGCGUGUCUUGGCCGUUUUGUUUAUACAUGUAUAUUUAUAAAUCUCUACAUGGCCGCAACAAUUAACUUUUUUCUAAAGCGUCAUCAUUCCUACUACCUAUAUGUGGGGGGGAGAAAUAUCUCGCUGAAACUAGAUUUAAACGGGAUGGUGAAGAUGGGCCCUAUACAGUGAAACUGAAAGAGCCCCUGUGAGACGAUAGGUUAGAAGGGAGUCACUCUCCACAACUCCAAGAAAUAGAAUGAGUAAGGUGGAAUAGAAAGCGGAGGGGAGAGGGUAGCUUGGUAGAUUUGAUCAGUGCUGACAGUGAUAACAUCCCCCAUCAGAGAAGAGAGAGAACACACAGGCCUGCAUGGCCCCUCUCCUUCACCCAGCACAUACAACCGCCACAAGCUCUCAGCAGUCUGAGAACUGGGCACCGUGUCUGUCUGAAGGCUAUCACUGUUGUAUACAACAUCAGUUAGGAUGACACCAUCACCUCUGUUUUGGUUUAGGAUAAGUGAUUCAGGGUAAGGGAGGUCUACUUUGUUCAUCACUGACUCUACUUAAGGCGUUUCAUGCAACCGGGCACGGGGCCUUACCUGGGCUUGCAGGCCCUCAGGGCUGGGUGCCAGUACUAAAGGUUGGAGGGCCGGAGGGUUGCUCUCCACGGUUUGGUGGUGCAGGCUGGGCCCGGAGGAUGUAGGGGCUGCAGCGGAACCAGACAGCUUCUGGAAACUCAUCUGUAGCUGCUCCGCAACACCUGGAGAAGACCUGCUCCUCAAGACAAGACAGGCACAUUCCCGUUCUAGAGUUCUGGAACAAGACAGGAGAAGAAAAUUCCAGAACAUUCCCGGAGUCAGGUCUGGACAGGAUUCUGUCCCCCUUUAGUGAAAAUAUUAGCACUGUGCUAGUGUCAUCACCCGUAAGUAACACCUCCUCCUGUAACUCCUCAGAUGGCCUACAGAAACCUGUAUUUAUAGUACAGUAACUUAAUAUAUACAAACUCAAACACUCACAGCUAUUGGAAUUGGAUACAGAAAGCCAAGUAAUCAUGUUAUGUUGACACCAUAUCACCCCCCCCCCUAAAGGAAUCUCUCUGUCCUCCCCUCUUUUUCUG
rnacentral:lncRNA from 8 species